rnacentral:rRNA from 1 species
UGGGGAAUAUUGGACAAUGGGCGAAAGCCUGAUCCAGCAAUACCGCGUGAGUGACGAAGGUCUUCGGAUUGUAAAACUCUUUUAGUGGGGAAGAUAAUGACGGUACCCACAGAAAAAGCACCGGCAAACUUCGUGCCAGCAGCCGCGGUAAUACGAAGGGUGCUAGCGUUGUUCGGAAUCACUGGGCGUAAAGCGUGCGUAGGCGGCUUUGUAAGUCGAUUGUGAAAGCCCCAGGCUUAACUUGGGAAUGGCAAUCGAAACUGCAUCGCUAGAGUUUGGUAGAGGAUAGUAGAAUUCCUAGUGUAGGGGUGAAAUCCGUAGAUAUUAGGAGGAAUAUCGGUGGCGAAAGCGGCUAUCUGGGCCAAUACUGACGCUGAGGUACGAAAGCGUGGGGAGCAAACAGG